rnacentral:rRNA from 1 species
GCCUGCCCAGUGACAACUGUUUAACGGCCGCGGUAUCCUGACCGUGCAAAGGUAGCAUAAUCAUUUGUUCUCUAAAUAAGGACUUGUAUGAAUGGCCGCACGAGGGUUUUACUGUCUCUUACUUCCAAUCAGUGAAAUUGACCUUCCCGUGAAGAGGCGGGAAUGCACAAAUAAGACGAGAAGACCCUAUGGAGCUUUAACUAACCAACCCAAAGAGAAUAGAUUUAACCAUUAAGGAAUAACAACAAUCUCCAUGAGUUGGUAGUUUCGGUUGGGGUGACCUCGGAGAAUAAAAAAUCCUCCGAGCGAUUUUAAAGACUAGACCCACAAGUCAAAUCACUCUAUCGCUCAUUGAUCCAAAAACUUGAUCAACGGAACAAGUUACCCUAGGGAUAACAGCGCAAUCCUAUUCAAGAGUCCAUAUCGACAAUAGGGUUUACGACCUCGAUGUUGGAUCAGGACAUCCUGAUGGUGCAACCGCUAUCAAAGGUUCGUUUGUUCAACGAUUAAAGUCCUACGUGAUCUGAUUCCAGACCGGA